rnacentral:rRNA from 1 species
CCUACGGGGGGCAGCAGUGAGGAAUAUUGGUCAAUGGGCGUAAGCCUGAACCAGCCAAGUCGCGUGAGGGAUGAAGGUUCUAUGGAUUGUAAACCUCUUUUAUCAGGGAAUAAAGUGCGGGACGUGUCCCGUUUUGUAUGUACCUUAUGAAUAAGGCUCGGCUAACUCCGGUCCCGCCGCCGCGGUAAUACGGAGGAUCCGAGCGUUAUCCGGAUUUAUUGGGUUUAAAGGGGGCGUAGGCGGCCUUUUAAGUCAGCGGUGAAAGUCUGUGGCUCAACCAUAGAAUUGCCGUUGAAACUGGGAGGCUUGAGUAUGUUAGAGGCAGGCGGAAUGCGUGGUGUAGCGGUGAAAUGCUUAGAUAUCACGCAGAACCCCGAGUGCGAAGGCAGCCUACCGGGGCAUGACUGACGCUGAGGCACGAAAGCGUGGGGAUCAAACAGGAUUAGAUACCCCGGUAGUC